rnacentral:rRNA from 1 species
AGAGUUUGAUCAUGGCUCAGAACGAACGCUGGCGGCAGGCCUAACACAUGCAAGUCGAACGAGAAGCCACCUUCGGGUGGUGGACAGUGGCAGACGGGUGAGUAACGCGUGGGAACGUGCCUUUCGGUUCGGAAUAACCCAGGGAAACUUGGGCUAAUACCGGAUACGCCCUUCGGGGGAAAGAUUCAUUGCCGAAAGAUCGGCCCGCGUCGGAUUAGCUAGUUGGUGGGGUAAUGGCUCACCAAGGCGACGAUCCGUAGCUGGUCUGAGAGGAUGACCAGCCACACUGGGACUGAGACACGGCCCAGACUCCUACGGGAGGCAGCAGUGGGGAAUAUUGGACAAUGGGCGAAAGCCUGAUCCAGCCAUGCCGCGUGGGUGAAGAAGGCCUUAGGGUUGUAAACCCCUUUCAGCGGGGAAGAUAAUGACGGUACCCGCAGAAGAAGUCCCGGCUAACUCCGUGCCAGCAGCCGCGGUAAUACGGAGGGGACUAGCGUUGUUCGGAAUUACUGGGCGUAAAGCGCACGUAGGCGGAUUUGUAAGUCAGGGGUGAAAUCCCGGGGCUCAACCUCGGAACUGCCUUUGAUACUGCAAAUCUCGAGUCCGGAAGAGGUGAGUGGAAUUCCUAGUGUAGAGGUGAAAUUCGUAGAUAUUA